AAGUCGUAACAAGGUUUUCAUAGCUAGUCUAUGGAUCGGUCAGUGAUGAUCCUUCCGCAGAGUACACUUGCUGAAGCCUUAGUAGCCCGCGAGGGUUGCGCCCGCGACUGUAAACAACGAGGUGCAUUAAAUGCUAGUCUCCCGCGAGGGAGGCGACACUAUCAAAUUGCGGGGAACUCCUGUCAAGUCUUUGCUACCGCGGCUCGCCGAAAGGCAGAGUGCAGCACCGGGUUAACGACCUCGGGGAUGGUAACAACGCAAAGAAUAGGGAUAA
rnacentral:misc_RNA from 1 species